rnacentral:rRNA from 1 species
UACGUAGGGGGCAAGCGUUGUCCGGAUUUAUUGGGCGUAAAGAGCGUGUAGGCGGCCACACAGGUCUGCUGUGAAAACUCGAGGCUCAACCUCGAGCUGUCGGUGGAAACCGUGUGGCUAGAGUCCGGAAGAGGAGAGUGGAAUUCCCGGUGUAGCGGUGAAAUGCGCAGAUAUCGGGAAGAACACCCGAGGCGAAGGCGGCUCUCUGGGACGGUACUGACGCUGAGACGCGAAAGCGUGGGGAGCGAACAGG